AACAACUUCUCACUCAGCACCCACCUGCUCUCUGUCCCACCGCCUCACCCACUUCAGACACCAGGUAAUUGCAAGCCAGUUCUCAAUUCAUGCACAGACAGCACGUCUGCUCUGUUAUUUAUUUCGCGCGAUCCACCAAGAGUUAAAGGAGAAGAAAACAUUUGGCUUUUAGCGGUUUACAAAGCCUCAUUACAGCUGAAAUAAAGUAACCACUAAAUCUUGUGUGGUUACAGAGGUCACUGGAGUUCUGGCACGGUGGCGCCAAUUCCGAGGCAGGAAUUUCAUUUCCCUCGGAGGAGAAGUGCAGGCAGAGCCGAAGGGACGGCAGGCGGCACCGCGCGGCGGCGGGCGGCACAAGGGCUCAUUGACGCUCCCCGCCGACGUGCCACGGAGCAAGCUCGACGCCUCGGCCCCACUCCUUCAGCCCAGGGCUUCACAAGCGACUUUGAAACUCCCCUGCCCGCCCCGUGAAAUGAGUAGGUAUUACUUGAGUGUACGCAGGGAUGGAGGCGAGCCAGGAAAAGGCUGGGGCUCACCGUGGUGUUUUUUGAAGCGUCCCGCACCUGGGUGCGCUGGAGCGUGCGAGUGCUGGGGGGACGUUGCUGACCCCACGCCUGCAGGGACUGGGGCUGGGGGCUCCCUGAAAAAGGUGGGCGAUUGCCCCUGCUGCAGGUGAAGCAGUGGGUGGGUGGGGAUGGGCUGGGACUCCCAUCCCCCAGGGACUGCCGGGCUCCACGAUCUGUGCUCCUGCCAGAGGCUGCCGACUGCAGGAGGAUUUCUCCCCAGCUGCUGCAGAAGCUGUGGCAAGUCCCACUGGCUUUCUACGGGGGACAGAGGAGCGGCGAGCCCUCAGGAAGUGGGGCAGCGGAAGAUGACCGUGCUGGAGGCUCAGGCAGAGCACUGUCCGCCCCCGAGUUGCUUUGUUUUGAAAACAACCAUCCCGCUCUAAUCGGCAAUCUUAUUUUUUCAUUAUUGGUAAGACAUAACGCUCUGUUCUCUUUGCUGUUUGCACUGGCAGCGCUCCAUGUAAUGCAAGGUUCAAGAAAGGAAUAUAAUUUCUUGCCCUUCCGUAUCUCAUUUGUUUGGG
rnacentral:lncRNA from 1 species